GAGUGGAUAUCCUAUGAAAUGUUAUAAACCAUGUGGGAUGGGAAUAAAUAUUGAGACUACCAUCAGUGCGACCAUCCAAAGGGUUUUCUUUUACCUAUUGGCUUUGCAGCAACGAGAGACAGUUAGCAUCACGUCUAUUCAUAGCCUUCCAGCAUGACUCAGCUGAGACCAACCUCCCUCCAUGUUCUGCAGCUGGAACGCUGCCCGUUGCUCUGAUACGAACUCACAGCCUUAUCUUCGCCUCUCUCAGUGCUGGAAAUCCAGAACAACACACACAGAAUGCUGGAGGAACUCCGCAGGUCAGGGAGCAUCUACAGAGAGGAACAGUCGAUGUUUCGGGCCGAGACCUUUCAUCAGGCUGGAAAGGAUGGGAAGAAAAGCCAGAAUAAGCUGGGAAGAGGGGAACGAGUGCAAGCUGGAUAUCAGCCGAGGAUUGAGAAUGGUUCAAUAUUCCUGACAAACCAAUGGAAAACAGAGGAAUGGACUGAUUGGAUCACAAUGUGCUAUUCAGCAUUAUCAGAAGCAGGAAGCCAGAAUCCAAGACAAACUCUUCCAGACCAGUUACAGUACUCAAUGAUUCAGCAUUUACUUUUAUAUUAGAUCUGCAGGUUUGCCCUUUUAAAGGAAGGUUAUUUUCUCUUGUGUCUUUGAUUUCUCUUCUUAUUUCAUUCAGCAGGCUUUAAUUUUCCACCCACCUCCUAUCCACCUCCUACAAGUGCUUCCUUCAUGGGUUUAGCUCCCAUGUCCCACCCCAUUUCCUUAACCAUGUGUUGGGUGGAAGAAAUCAAAGUGAAACACUGAGCUUGCUGUCCACUAAGUUCAAGUUCAAAUUCAGGUUAAGUUGUCACUCAGCCAUGCUCUCUCCCACACUCCUUUGGCGUCUCCUCCUUUGGGUGACCGCAACAGGUGGCGCUGCAGUAAGGACCUAGUGCUUUCCACAAAUGAGUCAGUACAGCUCCCCUGUCAUCAGUCUUGCCAAUGAACCAGUGAAUGGACUUGCAGUAUUUGGUUACUAUCCUCCCGCCUCAGUAUUCUGUAACUGAGGAGGGAGGAGAAGAUGGCGGCGCGACGCAGCGCGCUCGGCCUCUCCGGUGAAAUGAUAUCGUAUUUGUUAAAUAGGGGGCCAUGCGCAAUUCUUAUUUGAUGGAGACAGAUGUGAGAAGCAUGGAGGAACAUCUGGAGAAACUUCUGAAAUGCCCGGUUCGCUGCCGCUGCUACUGUGCGAUCGAGAAUCUCCGGAGGGAAGGCCUCAAAUCCUCGGCUUUGCCUGUUGCUGGCGGCCGGGGUUAGAGUCGAAGCGCUCGGCAGAGAUGGUGCUCGGUGCUCGGUGUCGGAGGGCUGGUCGGAGGCUCAAAGUUUUCGGACGACUCGGAGUCGGACUGUGGUUGGGUGCUUCCAGGAUGCUGCAUUGGCAAGUUUGCGGUGCUGGAAGCAUGGCAGGGAGAGUUUCUUUCCUUCUCCCGUCUGCGUGAGAUCAUGGGACUUUUGAGAGACUUUGAACUUCUUUUACCAUGCCCAUGGCCUGCUCUUCGUCAAGUUACAGUAUUGCUUGCACUGUUGUAACUAUAUGUUAUAAUUAUGUGGUUUUUGUCAGUUUUUCAGUCUUGGUCUGUCCUGUGUUUCUGUGAUAUCACACCGGAGGAAUAUUGUAUCAUUUCUUAAUGCAUGCAUUACUAAAUGACAAUA